rnacentral:rRNA from 1 species
UACGUAGGUGGCAAGCGUUGUCCGGAUUUACUGGGCGUAAAGAGCGCGCAGGCGGUCGUUCAAGUCGCGUGUGAAAGCCCCCGGCUCAACUGGGGAGGGUCACGCGAUACUGAUCGACUCGAAGGCAGGAGAGGGAAGUGGAAUUCCCGGUGUAGUGGUGAAAUGCGUAGAUAUCGGGAGGAACACCCGUGGCGAAGGCGACUUCCUGGCCUGUUCUUGACGCUGAGGCGCGAAAGCUAGGGGAGCAAACGGG